UCUCAGGUAUAAUAUGUCAGUCGCUGUAAUAGGUGAAUGGAGAAUCUCGGGAUUUCUCCAAUCGCGAUGAUCGAAUCCGUUGGCCUCCAGUUUGUCGCUGCCUCCAGCCUUUUAACAAUGUCUCCUUUUAAAUCUUCCGCCAAAAAAUUGGCGCGCUUCAAGACUAGCUCAUUUGCCAAGUUUCAUCGUAUCGUAGCUGAAUUUCUGUAGCUGACGGCGGAUGAAAUUUGACUUAUCCAUCAAAUUCGGUUUACACAACUACAUUCAAAACUUUUUAUUGAAUUACAAACAAUUUUGAUCAAAAUUUCAACCGUUCCAUAAUUAUUGAUCCUAAUGAAAAAUAAUUAGAAGCGGCAACAUCGUGUUUACAUCUGAUGCCAUGUGUAAGGUUAGGUUAUGUUAAAUGUUGCUAAUUCACAAACUGUUUUUGUACCACCAGUGAGUGAUAUGAAUUUUCCAUUGCACUAAUUUGUCUCAUUUUUGGAGAACAGUGCUUAAAAAUGAACAUUCACUCUAACAUCUGAUUUAUGAUCACUAGUUGUGCCGCAUGGUCUAGGAAUUAGGUAUUCCUCAAGUUUUUAUGGUGAUUGCCUUCUCAGAAUGUCCGUAUCAAUUCUAAGUACUUUUACUCAGUAUCUUGCUUGAUUAAUUCGCACCCAUCAUUCCUCAGUCCACAUCAUGGCUGAAAUAGAUGAGAUUCUUCAGGAUCUAUCGCAUAUCCCAUCAGAACCAGAUGCUCAAGCUGCCGAAAACUACAAACAACGACUGAUUGCACUGUUCUCUCACUUCAAGGCGCAAGUUGAUAAUCUCGACUAUGAUUUAAGCGCUCUUUUUAAUGAAGAAACAGGCAUCAUAACACUACUCCACAAGCUUCUUCGAAAGACAAAAUACAAGUCUUGCGUCAGUUACACUCUUUCCGAAAUAUCAGAGACAAUCUUGAAAGAUCACAAAAACCGAGUUUUACAGCAUGUUGAAAAAAUAGCAGGUUUUUGCGUAAAAUGUGCUCAAGAGGACAGCCAGUCCUCAGAUUCAAAAGAAGCUGCCCUGAAAAUUUUGAUUGAAUUUAUCAGUCACAACCCCUCAGUGCAUGCUCUUGAUGGAAGACAAUUCUCUCCUUUCAUUACUAAGCUCCUUGCUAUGAAAACCAAGUUCAGUAAUACAGUUAUGAGACAAGUUUACAUUCUUCUGGGACAUCUUGGAAAUUCAUAUUUUGAAGUAUUCAACUCAAACCCAGAAAGGUUUUUUAAUGCCUUUGUUUGUGAAAUAGAAGAAUCCAAGAGGAAAUUAGAUUCUGACACUGCUGGAGUCUCUGCUGUGCUUGAGGGAUGUUUUUAUGGACUAGUAGAGUACAUGAAACAAUUUGAAAUCCCUCCACAAAGUAAAAGUUAUGGUGAAAAACUUUACAAAUUAGCAAAAACAAUUUGCAUAUUUGAUGCCAAUCGUAACAGAAAAACUUAUCAGAGAGCUGCGUUAAAAAUGAUGGAGAUCCAUAGCAGUUUGUUCAAAAACUUCAUAGUUUCCGAUUACAAGUGGUGGCAUACUAAUCUACGGAAAUGGUUGACCAACAAUACAAAUAAAGAUAAUCAAACUGCUGUAAUUGAGACUCUCAAGUCAGUAUGUCGUGUCAUAGCCAAAGAAAUAGUAGACAGAGAAACUGAUCAAGGAAGACAAAUUUAG
rnacentral:lncRNA from 1 species